AGUGAACGCUGGCGGUAGGCCUAACACAUGCAAGUCGAACGGCAGCACAGUAAGAGCUUGCUCUUACGGGUGGCGAGUGGCGGACGGGUGAGGAAUACAUCGGAAUCUACUUUUUCGUGGGGGAUAACGUAGGGAAACUUACGCUAAUACCGCAUACGACCUACGGGUGAAAGCAUGGGAUCUUCGGACCUUGUGCGAUUGAAUGAGCCGAUGUCGGAUUAGCUAGUUGGCGGGGUAAAGGCCCACCAAGGCGACGAUCCGUAGCUGGUCUGAGAGGAGGGUCAGCCAAACGGGAACUGGAACGCGAUCAAGACGACUACGAGAGGGACCAGAGUCGAAUAUUGGACAAUAGGGGGAAACCUGGUCCAGUGAUACCGCGUGGGUGAAAGCCUCGUUCGGGUUGUGAAGACCUCUUGUUGGGAGAAAAAAGCAGCAGGUUGAUACGCCGCUGUACUGACGGUACUCGAAGAAGAAGCACCGGCUAACUACGUG
rnacentral:rRNA from 1 species